rnacentral:rRNA from 1 species
CAGUAGCCGCGGGAAUACGUAGGGUGCAAGCGUUAAUCGGAAUUACUGGGCGUAAAGCGUGCGCAGGCGGUUAUAUAAGUCAGAUGUGAAAUACCCGGGCUCAACCUGGGAACUGCAUUUGAGACUGUAUGGCUAGAGUGCGUCAGAGGGGGGUAGAAUUCCACGUGUAGCAGUGAAAUGCGUAGAUAUGUGGAGGAAUACCGAUGGCGAAGGCAGCCCCUUGGGAUAAUACUGACGCUCAUGCACGAAAGCGUGGGGAGCAAACAGGAUUAGAUACCCGUGUAGUCCCUGUCUCUUUACA